CAGUCGCCGCGGGAAUACGAAGGGUGCAAGCGUUAAUCGGAAUUACUGGGCGUAAAGCGUGCGUGGGCGGUUUGUUAAGUCUGUUGUGAAAUCCCCGGGCUCAACCUGGGAAUGGCAAUGGAUACUGGCAAGCUAGAGUGUGUCAGAGGAUGGUGGAAUUCCCGGUGUAGCGGUGAAAUGCGUAGAGAUCGGGAGGAACAUCAGUGGCGAAGGCGGCAACCUGGCUCAUUACUGACGCUGGGGCGCGAAAGCGUGGGGAGCAAACAGGAUUAGAUACCCCAGUAGUCCCUGUCUCUUAUAC
rnacentral:rRNA from 1 species